UAGUGAGACUAGCAAGUUGCCCUUCUCAAAGGGAACGUACCCUUUGACUCCCAAAGAAAUAAUGCUUAAAUAGAAUCCUCUAUGCGUACGCAGAGAGGUGAUUUAUGUAUUUCAUAUUGUAUGAAAAACAUUGAUAUGAGUUGUACCUAGAAAGGUACAAGACGAUAUCAGUGCAAGCCCAGGAUCAGAACCACGGCAACUGUCAAGUGAGUCCUUAAGUAUUUAAGAAAUACUAAAGGAUAGAUUCCUCAAAGAAUGAGGAAGAAUUAGAGUAACGUAAUGGAAGCGUAAAUGUAUUAGACUAUGAAUCUAAUCCAUCAUUGGAUAUUUCUUCAUUAUGAAUGAAGAGAUAAUCAGAUAUCUCUUUAUUAUGACUAAAGAGAUAUUUGGAUGGAAACAUUAAAAGAAAUGACUUUAGUGUGUUCCAUUAUGAAUGCAAAAUAUAUUGCCAUAUAGAAGCUUACAACAAUGUUGUUUGGAUGGGAAAAUUCAUUUAUGAACUCUCUAUUCGGUUCCAACCAAAAAGUGUCUCUAGUGUACCGACACUACGACACUAAUGGGGCGAUAGCUUAAGCCAGGGAAUCAAGGUCUCAUCAAGAUCCGAACUCAAAUGAGAGACUGAACCACAUGAUUAAGAAUCAUGUAUAAUGGUGAUGUCGUUAUUCUCAAGGUUGCUUCUAUGGAUAACAAAUAGAUAUCCAUUGUCUAGGCCUACUACUCAGCCAUUUAUGAAAUGACUACAUAAGAGGUAUCAUCACUGAUGACCCAGCUGAUUGGCUCUAGUGCAAGUGGGAGAUUGUUGGAAAUGUGCCCUAAAACCAAUCAUAUAAUGAUACUUUACAGACAUUUCACAUGUUAAACUAAUCUAGUUUAAUAUCAAGGGCAAAGAUUAUUGUUUGAGCCGUCUCAUAUAAAUGUUAUACGCUUAAACGAUAAGUCCAAGGAAUAUGUGAUUGGGAGAAUGCGAUCUAAAGAAGUUAGAUUCAUGAGACCAUUCUUUCGUAGACACAUUCUAAACGUUCCUGAUCAUAGGAUUGCCAAUUGGGCAUUGACAGUCCGUUAAGAUCAGUACGUGUUGUGUCUUCUCUCAGGGAGAGUGACUAGUCUCAAGUCAUUGGUGUGUGUGACAUCAAGACAAGCAUGUAGGUGCUCAAUAAUGAAUGAGUCCACUGAACACGAUCAACGAGGAGUUCUCAUACUCAUGUCACAUGAGAACUCAUGGUUGGGAUAAUGCAAAGUAGUCAUUUGACCUGAGGUAUCAUAGUUGUCUUGUGGUUAGGUACUUGAUCUUUGAUUAUGUCAAAGUCACUCCAUAAGGAGAGUGUCCACGGCAUCGUCGGGGUUAAGCCACUUAGCCAUGGAGGCAAGUGAAUGCGCAACAAGGGAUCUCUAACCUUCAAACCGUUUGGGGGAGAAUACACUAUGAUAUGAUUAAGAAUCUCUGGCCAGAGUAUGAAUGAGAUUUAGGAAGUCGUUCC
rnacentral:lncRNA from 1 species